CACCCACGGUUUCAGUUAGCUCUCGGCCUUAUCUACGCACGCUAAGGUGGGAAAAGGGUCCGGUGAUGGAAAGGCCACCUCGGGUUGGGGACGGUUCAAACGUGCAGUGGGCAUGGAAACGUUCGAAGGGGAAGAGGAUCGACGCCGCAGGUACAACGAGAGGGUAGGGAGGGAUGGCAUCAAGAUACAAGGCAUCAAAUACAGUGACCCCGGUGCCAUCACUCAGGUUGUCGAUUUUGCGUGUGCGGUGCCGAUGAUGGUACAGGCGGUUGCGGCGAAAACAAUAGAGUUGGCUAAGGCGAAAAUGGAAGAAGUGGCUAAAAAUAGACGGAGUUAAGUUAUACUCCCUCCGUCCCAUAAUAUAAAAACGUUUUUGACACUAUAUUAUUAUCAAAAAUAUUCUUAUAUUAUGGGACAGAGGUAGUACCUACCUACUUGGGCUUUAAAAAAAAGUGAUAUCUACUAGGCCGUGUGGGCCAAAUGUUUCCCGGUUUCCCAGUUGUUCUGUGGAGUGCGUCCAGUCCGUGGACUAAGAAAAAGGAGAAAAACGUUACUAAAAAAAGGAGAAAAACAAGAACGUAGGGAAAAUUUCUACCGCUGCAAGCUUUUAAUUCGUCCGUAGACUAAUCCCGCUACGGUGUAACCUUUUAUACCAAAGAAAUGGGAAGGAAUAAAGAAGAGUAAUGCCGCAUUGCUCUUCGCCUUGUUCUCGGCGUUUCCUUCUGAACACUAGGGCAUGUUUGGUCGGAGUCUACCGAUGUGA